UACGAAGGGGGCUAGCGUUGCUCGGAAUCACUGGGCGUAAAGGGUGCGUAGGCGGGUCUUUAAGUCAGGGGUGAAAUCCUGGAGCUCAACUCCAGAACUGCCUUUGAUACUGAGGAUCUUGAGUAUGGGAGAGGUGAGUGGAACUGCGAGUGUAGAGGUGAAAUUCGUAGAUAUUCGCAAAGAACACCAGUGGCGAAGGCGGCUCACUGGCCCAUUACUGACGCUGAGGCACGAAAGCGUGGGGAGCAAACAGGG
rnacentral:rRNA from 1 species